rnacentral:rRNA from 1 species
UACGGAAGAUGCGAGCGUUAUCCGGAUUUAUUGGGUUUAAAGGGAGCGUAGGCGGCCUUUUAAGUCAGCGGUUAAAUGUCAGCGCCCAACGCUGGCAUGCCGUUGAUACUGGGGGGCUUGAAUGCACACAAGGGCGGUGGAAUUCGUUGUGUAGCGGUGAGAUGCUUAGAUAUGACGAAGAACUCCGAUUGCGAAGGCAGCCGCCUGGGGUGCGAUUGACGCUGAGGCUCGAAAGUGCGGGUAUCAAACA